rnacentral:lncRNA from 1 species
AUGAUGGCAUUUGGAGGUGAGACCUUUGAGAAGCAAUUAAGUGGAGCCCUACUAAAUGGCAUUGGUCCUUUUACAGAAAGAGUCCAGAGAACCAGCUCAUUCUUUUCACAAUGUUCAGAAAAAGUUACAUUCAACCACUUAUGAGAGAUGAAAUGGAGUAAAUAUGAGUGUUGCUACAUAAAAAAAUAAAUAAAUAAAUGACAGUAAGAUUUUGCUAUAG